GACGAACGCUGGCGGCGUGCUUAACACAUGCAAGUCGAACGGAAAGGCCCUGCUUUUGUGGGGUGCUCGAGUGGCGAACGGGUGAGUAACACGUGAGUAACCUGCCCUUGACUUUGGGAUAACUUCAGGAAACUGGGGCGAAUACCGGAUAGGAGCUCCUGCUGCAUGGUGGGGGUUGGAAAAUUUCGGCGGUUGGGGAUGGACUCGCGGCUUAUCAGCUUGUUGGUGGGGUAGGGGCUUACCAAGGCUUUGACGGGUAGCCGGCCUGAGCGGGUGACCGGCCACAUUGGGCCUGAGAUACGGCCCAGACUCCUACGGGACGCAGUAGUGGGGAAUAUUGCACAAUGGGCGGACGCCUGAUGCAGCAACGCCGCGUGCGGGAUGACGGCCUUCGGGUUGUAAACCGCUUUCGCCUGUGACGAAGCGUGAGUGACGGUAAUGGGUAAAGAAGCACCGGCUAACUACGUG
rnacentral:rRNA from 1 species